UUUUGAUUCUCAAUUUUUUUAGUCAAAAGGGAUUGAAUGAAUUUGAUUUUGCAUUUUGGAUUCCGCGAUUUUUAUUGCUUGAAUCGAAUGGGGUGUCACUAGAUGGCGCUGCCCGAUCCCAAAAUGAAAUGAAACGGGUUAAAUGGCGUUCCGUGACUAGAAUACUAGAUACGCGAACGGACUUGCGCCAUUGGGCGUAGUCCGUAGUGGGGAACACAACGUCGUUCGCCUUUGACAAAGUGUCUCGUACAAUUUCAUAGGAAAUAAAAGUGCGGUUGUUUGGUUUAGUAUAGUUUUGAAUGGCAGAGGGAAAUCAACCCAUGGACAACCUCGGUGGAUUUGCCAAUCCUCGAUUUGUUUUGAUAAACGGCUGUUUUUGGAAUUCCAACUUAACCAGGAGGUAUAUUCAAGGACAGGUUUGGCUUAACGAAUUUACAAACCUUCUACUUGAAUCUUUCCUGCAACUACAUGGGAGCCCCAUGUAUGGAAAAAAAGCUGUGGAACAAAGAAACUAACACACACGAAUAUGUGAGAAGACCUCUACAACAACUUGGCUCAUUGGAAAUUUUGAAAUACGGAGAGAAACACGCCUGCACAUUAUACAGGCCGCGAGAGUUUAACCCCAUGCAAUUUGGAAGACGCACAGAAGAAUUAUUGGCCCUGAGAAACGAUAUGACUCACGAGGUCGGAAAAUGGACCCAAGCAGAUACCCGCGAUACGUUAAAAAAACUUUUGGAGAAAAUGGUGAUCGUUUCAGAGUAUUUGGUUAAGUGCAGUCGCCAUGAUGUUCAAUUGCACAAUAGUAUACGGAAAUUCAAGUCCAGCUGUGAAAGAGAACUCGAUCAAAUGCGACGCUUGGAGUACAAAGACUUGUAUUAGCAUGGUCAUGCACGGUAUUAGCUAGUCAUAAUUAUCAUGUGGCGGUUAUUACUUGAAGAAAAAAAAUAAAUUAGUAAUAUAGAA